rnacentral:sRNA from 1 species
UCCGUAGGUGAACCUGCGGAAGGAUCAUUAAUGAAUUUUGGAGUUCUACUGUGCCUGCCGUUCAUUUGGAUGUGUGCACGUAGUCUCUAUAAAUCCUUAUCAACACCUGUGCACCUUUAAAAAGGGGAAACUGAUUAAGCUUUUUACGGGCUUAUGAGGAAUAACCUUUUUUCUUAUACAAACUCUUAAUGUCUAUUAGAAUGUUCUCUGGCCGCAAGGCUAUAAAAUAUAAACAACUUUUAACAACGGAUCUCUUGGCUCUCGCAUCGAUGAAGAACGCAGCGAAAUGCGAUAAGUAAUGUGAAUUGCAGAAUUCAGUGAAUCAUCGAAUCUUUGAACGCACCUUGCACUCCUUGGUAUUCCGAGGAGUACGCCUGUUCGAGUGUUAUGAAGCUCUCAAAACGCAAUUGGCUUAAAACCUGAUUGUUGUUUUGGAUUUGAACUUUGCCGUGUUAUAACGGCUGGUUUUAAAAGUAUUAGCUGGUACUAGAACGAAUUGGUUCUACUCAACGUGAUAAUUAUCUGAUCGUUGAGGACAUUCCUUUCACGAGGAAUGGCCAUAGUAAAUUCAAUGGACUGCUUCUAAUCUGGCUUUAAUUCUUUAUUGGAUUAACCACUUUUCAAAUCUGACCUCGAAUCAGGUGGGACUACCCGCUGAACUUAAGCAUAUCAAUAAGCGGAGGAAAAGAAACUAACAAGGAUUCCCCUAGUAACGGCGAGUGAAGCGGGAUGAGCUCAAAUUUAAAAUCUGAUAGUCUUUGGCUGUCCGAGUUGUAAUCUAGAGAAGUGUUUUCCGCGUUGGACCAUGUACAAGUUUCCUGGAACGGAACGUCAUAGAGGGUGAGAAUCCCGUCCUUGACAUGGACUACCAGUGCUUUGUGAUACACUCUCAACGAGUCGAGUUGUUUGGGAUUGCAGCUCAAAAUGGGAGGUAAAUUCCUUCUAAAGCUAAAUAUUGGCGAGAGACCGAUAGCGAACAAGUACCGUGAGGGAAAGAUGAAAAGCACUUUGGAAAGAGAGUUAAACAGUACGUGAAAUUGUUAAAAGGGAAACGCUUGAAGU